GUUAGCUUAGUGUACCAAAUAACACAUUGGGCUUUCAAACCAAAAAAACAAUCCUAGUAGCUAACU
rnacentral:tRNA from 1 species